rnacentral:rRNA from 1 species
ACAGAGGGUGCGAGCGUUAAUCGGAUUUACUGGGCGUAAAGCGCGCGUAGGUGGUUAAUUAAGUCAAAUGUGAAAUCCCCGAGCUUAACUUGGGAAUUGCAUUCGAUACUGGUUAGCUAGAGUAUGGGAGAGGAUGGUAGAAUUCCAGGUGUAGCGGUGAAAUGCGUAGAGAUCUGGAGGAAUACCGAUGGCGAAGGCAGCCAUCUGGCCUAAUACUGACACUGAGGUGCGAAAGCAUGGGGAGCAAACAGGAUUAGAUACCCUGGUAGUCCAUGCCGUAAACGAUGUCUACUAGCCGUUGGGGGAUUUGAUCCUUUAGUGGCGCAGCUAACGCGAUAAGUAGACCGCCUGGGGAGUACGGUCGCAAGACUA